UAAGACGAACCGUGCGAACGUUGUUCGGAUUCACUGGGCUUAAAGGGCGCGUAGGCGGGCCGCCCGGUCCGGGGUGAAAGCCUCCAGCUCAACUGGAGAAGUGCCCCGGAUACCGGCGGCCUCGAGGGGGGUAGGGGCACGCGGAACUUCCGGUGGAGCGGUGAAAUGCGUAGAUAUCGGAAGGAACGCCGGCGGCGAAAGCGGCGUGCUGGACCCCAUCUGACGCUGAGGCGCGAAAGCCAGGGGAGCGAACGGGAUUAGAUACCCCGGUAGUCCUGGCCCUAAACGAUGGGUACUAGGUAGUGGGCUUGACAUGGGCCCACUGCCGGAGCAAAAGUGUUAAGUACCCCGCCUGGGGAGUAUGGUCGCAAGGCUG
rnacentral:rRNA from 1 species